AGUGUGUGUGUGUUAUAUAUAUAUAUAUAGAAUUGAGCUCCUAUACUUUUAAAAGUACCAAGUUAUUACUGACCGUCCCUAGAGCAAGUGGCAAAGGGCUUGGUGGUUGGUACCGGAGACCGAAGUUCGAAUCCUGGUUGAUUCACAUUUUCAGCUAAGUUUAUUUCUAAAUGAAAUAAACGAAGCGGAUAGCGUGCUAUCUAUCUCUCUCAAAAAAAAAAAAAAAAGUACCAAGUCAUUGGUGCUUGUAAGUUUUCGGCCUUUGGAUUAAGGAAUGUGCAGUUAGGAUGAUGUGGGCCCUCUAGGGUUGAGUGAGUGGUUGGUUGAAUAGUAUAAUAUAACAGGUGAAAAUGAUCAAAGGUAUAGAUCUAACGGUAAAAAAUUUACAAACACCAAGUGCUUGGUGCUUUUACAAGUAUCAUAAUCGCAUUCAAUUUUUAU
rnacentral:lncRNA from 1 species